GACGAACGCUGGCGGCGUGCUUAACACAUGCAAGUCGAACGGAGAUUAUUAAUGAAGCUUGCGAUUUAAUAAUCUUAGUGGCGGACGGGUGAGUAACGCGUGGGCAACCUACCCAUAAGAGGGGGAUAACUGCUGGAAACGGCUGCUAAUACCGCAUAAACUUUUUAAGACACAUGUUUUAAAAAGGAAAGGUGGCGCAAGCUAUCGCUUAUGGAUGGGCCCGCGUCUGAUUAGCUAGUUGGUGGGGUAACGGCCUACCAAGGCAACGAUCAGUAGCCGGCCUGAGAGGGUGGACGGCCACACUGGGACUGAGACACGGCCCAGACUCCUACGGGAGGCAGCAGUGGGGAAUAUUGCGCAAUGGGGGAAACCCUGACGCAGCGACGCCGCGUGAGCGAAGAAGGCCUUAGGGUUGUAAAGCUCUGUUCUAUGGGACGAAGUCCUUGACUGUGAAUAAUGGUCAAGGUUGACGGUACCAUAGGAGGAAGCCCCGGCUAACUACGUGCCAGCAGCCGAC
rnacentral:rRNA from 1 species